AUGACGAUUUCUUCAAGGACAGAUUGUUAAGGUGUACACAAAAAAUUCAGGGUUGUGGUGGCAUUCACAGAACAGCUGCAGAUGGUGGAGUGCUGCCUCUGGACCCAAGAAAUGAGCACUGACUGGUGGCAUCGCAUCAUAAUGCAGGUUUGGGAUGGUGAGCAGUGGCUGCAGAACUUUGGGGUGUGAAAGGCCACAUUCGUGGAUCUGUGUGCUGAGCUCACUCCAGCGCAGACACACCAGAAUGAGCUGCAGUGACAGAGAAGAAGAGUGGUGACCAGUCUGGAAGCUUGCAGCGCCGGUCAGUGGGAAAUCAUUUUGGAAUUGGAAAAGCCACAGUGGGGGCUGUUGUGCAAGUGUAUAAGGCUGUUAAUCAUCUCCUGCUGUGGAUGGAUCUGCAGCUGUGGGAUUCCUGAACUGCGGUGGAGCAGUAGAUGGCACAUCUUGUUGUAGCACACCUUGCCCCAGAAGAUAUUAAAAACUUCCAACAGGGUGAAGGUGGAGCAGCUGAGUUUGAAGAGGCAAACACCAGGGCCAUUAUAACAGCUUAUUGUGGAGCUGGGUGGUUGAAGAAGGCUUUGAAAGAGCAUUUCUAAUGGUCAGCCACAGUAGUGCUGUGUGCCUGAUGCUGCCCUGGCCCUGACGACCUAGAAUUGUGUAGUGUUUGGUGUAAAUGUUACUCUUCUUUCUCAUCCUCAUCAGGAUCAGAUGUUCUGCAGGGAGGCAGUGCCCAUCAGGGCUGCAAUAGCAGCAGCUACAGGUAAACCAGAUGGAUCAUUGGAUGUACAGUCAGAACAGAUAGGUAAAGAUAAGCUUCAAAACUCCCUUCCCUUAUUACCAUACUUUUUAACAAGACAUGCUUAUUGACAUGGCAUAGUCCCAGCCUUUUGAGUAUGGCCGGGUGAGGGUAGAGACCAGGGGAAAGGAGGAAGGCAUUAAGGUUUUUGGUUGUAUGAAAGAAGAAAAUUUGUCGCCACUGCUGUGGGUACAGGUAUAUAGGGCAAUGGCACUGAAUAUUGGUCCUGUAUUCAACAGGCAGGGGUGAUGUUAGCCUAUAUCUCAUUGCUGAGGGUAACAACGGCAUAGCUCAGCUGCUGCUGGUGUCCUGAAGCCAUUUUGGCCCGUAUGCGCUAGCCUGUUUGCUGCAGUGGUCUCUGCUAAAGGCCAGGCAGAGUGGCAUGGAAAAGUGUCCUACUGUGGAGGAAGAAAUCAGACUGUCAUCCCGAGACAUCUUUAGGAGAGGAUUGUGGUGUAUCUCCAUGAGAGUCAACGGAGACUUCUGGAGGAUACAAGGGACAUCUCUAUGUACAAUCGCUCCCUAUGCCCCUCCUGCCUAACCCAACAGGAGUGAGAAGCAGAUGCCAACUCUGCCUCUGUCUGUACCGCUGCCACUUCUCCUAUGAAUAACACAAUGACAAGUCAUUACCUGGAGCUUAACUUGAGGGUGUGGGGCACAGUCUUUACGUUUAAAACAUGGUGAGGGAAAAUGCAUGUGCACACCACGCUUCCUUCUGCUCCAUUGGGCUCCUCCGGGCUUGGCUGCUGGGACUAGCUGGUUUCCCAUGAAGUCUUAAACAGGUCCAGGCUUGCUGCGUGGCUUGACACCUUCCUCCUCACCCUCUCUUCUCUCCCCCCACCCCCUAGCACAUGUCUCCUCACUGUUUAUGGCUGGGGUCUCUGUUUCCUCCGAGGUACCCACCGCAAUCUGCAGGGUACUCUUGGGGUCUCUGCCCAGUGUGGCAUGCAGCAUGAUGUAAAAGUGAGGCCUGCAACUCAGCACCAGAUCAACUGUUGACCUCCCUGGCCUUGUGAUCAGGGGCACCGGGCUAGGGGGCCAUAGCCCCAUCAUUGUCUACCAGCUGUAAGGGUCAGUGGGGGGGGCGGUGUCUCGGGGGACAGGGCCAUGGUUCCAGCACUGGUGGUUUCCCCCACUUUUAGGGAGCUCCUGCUGCUCCUGCUUGUGGGAUGCCUACUGCAAUUCCUUUGCUUUCACACAGCACGGCAGCUGAUCCCUAUUGCACCCCUUUGCCUGCAUCCCCCGUGCCGUCUCUCCGUAGCUGUCCCCCUGUUACUGUGGUUGGUCUGUAGCUGUGCUUGCACAGCCGCUUCUCCCCACAGGCCUAGGAGACCCAGUACCUCCUGUCUGCUCCAGGACCAUGAUAUGUUGUGUGCAGCAGCCCAGCAAGGGAGGAGCUGCAAGGUGUGCACCGAGCUGAGCAAUCAGGAAAAGCAUUUAAAAAUGUGGGGUAUUUUAAGGGGGAGGGGGCUUCUGGUCACUGAUGUCAGGCAACGGAGUUCACAUUUGUGACCUGAGCAGUCACUGCUACAAGAAAUGGUGCGUUGUGGGACAGCUGCUGGAGGACUGUUGGUGUAGACAUAGGUCACACACUGUCUGCACUCAUGGCGUUGGCCUCAUUAGGUCGGACAUGGUCCAUGCUGUUUGGGGAGGUGGCUUUACUGCAUCACCCUAACAGGGCACUGAUGUCAGCUGGAGACUCAUCUGAAUGUAGCCGCACAUGCAUAGGUUGACAUAAAUCGCCUUGCGUCGACCUAACUUUGUGUAUGGACUAGGCCGAAGGGCAGUGUGCCGAGAGUCAGACCUGAGAUGCUUGGGUCACUACUAAUGCUUUCAGCAAAAGAACGGUUAAAAUGUGUCCAGUAUUUGAAUGUUAAUUACCUUUGAAUUGUCUGGAGCUGGGCAUUGUUAAAACAAUGAGAUCAGAAUGAUGUCUAGACUCCAUGUGAAAUACAGACCCAUCAGAGUACAACUUCAGCACAAAGGUUCUAUGUUGUGUGCUUGUCUUAACAUAAUUAAUGAGCUAGGUCUGUAACAAGCACUGAAAGGAAGGAAGCGGCUACUGUUACCGUGCAGUAAGUGACUGUUUGGAGAAACGGUCUGAGAGUCAUCUGUACACGAUGUAAAUAAAGGGGGAGGCUAUUAAAUGAUCAGGAGACAGAGCAAAGGCUGGGCCUGAAACAAGCUCUUCUCAAAUAUUAAUGAGUCUGCCCCCCUC